AAUGAACGCUGGCGGCAGGCCUAACACAUGCAAGUCGAACGAGUGGCGGACGGGUGAGUAAUGUCUGGGAAACUGCCGGAUGGAGGGGGAUAACUACUGGAAACGGUAGCUAAUACCGCAUACCAUCAGAUGUGCCCAGGUGGGAUUAGCUUGUGGGGGGGGUAACGGCUAACAAGGGCGACGAUCCCUAGCUGGGCUGAGAGGAUGACCAGCCACACGGGAACUGUGACCCGGUCCAGCCUCCUACGGUGGGAAGCGGGGGGAAAUAUUGCACAAUGGGCGCAAGCCUGAUGCAGCAAUGCCGGGUGUAUGAAGAAGGCCUUCGGGUUGUAAAGUACGUUCAGCGGGGAGGCGUUACCCGCAGAAGAAGCACCGGCUAACUCCGUGCCAGCAGCCGCGGUAAUAC
rnacentral:rRNA from 1 species